rnacentral:rRNA from 1 species
CUACGGGAGGCACCAGUGGGGAAUAUUGGACAAUGGGCGCAAGCCUGAUCCAGCCAUGCCGCGUGUGUGAAGAAGGCCUUCGGGUUGUAAAGCACUUUCAGUUGGGAGGAAAGGUUAGUCGCUAAUAUCGGCUAGCUGUGACGUUACCAACAGAAGAAGCACCGGCUAACUCCGUGCCAGCAGCCGCGGUAAUACGGAGGGUGCAAGCGUUAAUCGGAAUUACUGGGCGUAAAGCGUACGCAGGCGGUUGAUUAAGCGAGAUGUGAAAGCCCCGGGCUCAACCUGGGAACUGCAUUUCGAACUGGUCAACUAGAGUGUGAUAGAGGGUGGUAGAAUUUCAGGUGUAGCGGUGAAAUGCGUAGAGAUCUGAAGGAAUACCGAUGGCGAAGGCAGCCACCUGGGUCAACACUGACGCUCAUGUACGAAAGCGUGGGGAGCAAACAGGAUUAGAUACCCGUGUAGUC